GGGGGACAACGUUUCGAAAGGAACGCUAAUACCGCAUACGUCCUACGGGAGAAAGCAGGGGACCUUCGGGCCUUGCGCUAUCAGAUGAGCCUAGGUCGGAUUAGCUAGUUGGUGAGGUAAUGGCUCACCAAGGCUACGAUCCGUAACUGGUCUGAGAGGAUGAUCAGUCACACUGGAACUGAGACACGGUCCAGACUCCUACGGGAGGCAGCAGUGGGGAAUAUUGGACAAUGGGCGAAAGCCUGAUCCAGCCAUGCCGCGUGUGUGAAGAAGGUCUUCGGAUUGUAAAGCACUUUAAGUUGGGAGGAAGGGCAGUAAGUUAAUACCUUGCUGUUUUGACGUUACCGACAGAAUAAGCACCGGCUAACUCUGUGCCAGCAGCCGCGGUAAUACAGAGGGUGCAAGCGUUAAUCGGAAUUACUGGGCGUAAAGCGCGCGUAGGUG
rnacentral:rRNA from 1 species